rnacentral:lncRNA from 1 species
UCGUACCUUCUCCCACCAUCAAAACUUGAAUAGGAGGUUCCUGAAACCGGAGCUAAUGUGUUGCCCCACAUCUCGCUCUGUAUAACCGACUCUACCAUGUGUCGUAUGCUAAUUAAAUUAGAUACUGCACCGGCGGUCGUUCCUUCCUACCAUCCAUAGAGCGAUUUUUCACGAAGCCCCUGAACAAUCUCGGGAUGAAAUGGAAAUGGGCUGAUGCCUAGCAGUUAAUUUUUCUUUAUGGAUUUUCUCUUAUUUUUAUCUUCAAGUUUAAUUGUUGAAAUCCCAACUUUUCACUUUUUUAAUUAUUGCACUAAUAGAAAACUUAUAAUUCUGAAGAUCUACCAAUGUUGUGAAAAGGUCAUAGUCAUAGUAGCUUUUGCCAAAGUUUACUAAUCAUCCUCAAACUACAUAAGUGUACAUAAUUAUGUAUCUCAUAAGAAAACUGUAUAUUUAUUUACAUAUAAUCCCAACUUUCAAGAUAAAAGAAAUAUCUUUUGUGGCAUUUCCAAAAAAUAGGACGGAACUUCCACGUGUAUAUGUUGCAACCCUAUUUUCAAUGAAACUGGGUGAAAUUAUACGUCUUUCCGAAAAUACUUUCAUGGCCCACCUAACAUAAGCCCGAACAGUGACCUAUCAGGAUAAAUUUGGGCCAUAUAUAAGAGUGAAUGUUUUGGGCUCCCUUUGCCCUAGCCCGCCCAACGUGUACCUUGUAGCAGUGCCAUCGUGGAUGGUCUUUGGGUAGAUAAUGCACUUACUAGUUUGUCCUUAUUUAAGCACAUUGAGUACUGCCUUAGUUCAAUAUAUUUACUCCACAUCCCUCUAGUCCGUUUUCCAUACAUCUCACUUGUCUUACCAUUCAUUACAUUGCAUCCAUAUACUAGACUCGAGAUUAACAUAUGGAGACAGUCGCAGAUCCAACUUAUCUGGGGCGGAACAUUCAAGGUCUAAAUUUUUUGUCAUACAAAUGCAAGCCCUAUCAACCAAAACUCAUAAAAUUCAAAUAGGAAGCAAGACACACUCAAAAAUUAAUAACAUAAUGAAUUGUUUGAAAUUCUCAACGACUAGGUAAUGUAACAAACAAAAGCACAAAAUAUAACAUAAGCUUGUAAAUACGACGGAUUUUAUACAAACUAGACGACAUUCGUGCAAACACGUGCGGAGCUAGUGAGAGGUCGUGUCCGCUCUAAGCCAGCCUCAAUGUGGAGCAGCAGCCUCAAGGUGGACGGCUGACACCGGCGGAGGGGGGGGGGAUGCGCGUGGGCGAGGGAGGAUGGUUUUGGAUGGGCCAGGGUGGUCAGAAACAGGAGUGGCUGUUGUGUGGACGCCGGCAAAGUCCACUCAUGUUUGUCUUUGGCGUGUUUGAGAAAUUGUGUCCGGACUUGCAUUUGGAUCGUUGUUGUGGAAAAUCUGUGCACCUGGAUCGGCUAAAUAAUUUUCCUAUUUUCGAACCACUCAAAAACUGAAAUAUAACCUAAAAUGUAUUAUUCAGUUAUUUUGUGUGAUUGUAAAAUUCUUCUAGGGCCGGGGUAGGCUUGUGUUAUCCUUUUUAAGACAUUUUGGUAUCUUUUUAGACACAUGUACGGAGCCUUUUUUUGAGUGUUAUAUGUACGGGGCCUUUCACUGAGUUGCCAUCCCGUUUGCCUCGUUAUCUGUCCGGGUCUAGCCACGAAUGGAGUGUUUCAUCUGAUCAAUGGGCACCCAAUCCGAAUGGAUAGCAAUACUGGUCGACAUGAGUUCUACCCAUGGAUAAUCCAAUUAGUCUCCAACUUCGCUCAUGGUGGCGAACUCCAGGCCGUUGAUUCCAGCAUCACGUCAGGUGCCAUGUCCGUCUAGGACUAUUACGAUCGUUGUGGGUGAACGUGUGAGAUGCAUAUGCAUGUGCAUAGUCAAGUGCUAGGCUCAAUUAAUUUGAUUCCAGGACGUAGUCUGAUGCUAGUCAAAUGCUUUUGUUUAGGGGGCCGUYCAAACUAGUUUUUUUUUUUUUUUUUUUUWGAGGAUCUGGCUUUCAAGCAGCUACUUUUUAUUUUUUAGGGAUCUCAAGCAGCUAGCUGAGAUGCUAGUCACGAAACAAGGAAGGAACAAUGGCCCGCCUAUCAUAGGAGAGGGUACAUUUGGGCCAUAAGAGUAAAAGUUUUGGGUACCCACACUAGUGGGGACGGGGUCUUUAGCCCCGGCCCAUAAGGG